AGUGAACGCUGGCGGUAGGCCUAACACAUGCAAGUCGAACGGCAGCACAGUAAGAGCUUGCUCUUACGGGUGGCGAGUGGCGGACGGGUGAGGAAUACAUCGGAAUCUACUUUUUCGUGGGGGAUAACGUAGGGAAACUUACGCUAAUACCGCAUACGACCUACGGGUGAAAGCAGUGGAUCUUCGGACCUUGCGCGAGUGAAUGAGCCGAUGUCGGAUUAGCUAGUUGGCGGGGUAAAGGCCCACCAAGGCGACGAUCCGUAGCUGGUCUGAGAGGAUGAUCAGCCACACUGGAACUGAGACACGGUCCAGACUCCUACGGGAGGCAGCAGUGGGGAAUAUUGGACAAUGGGCGCAAGCCUGAUCCAGCAAUACCGCGUGGGUGAAGAAGGCCUUCGGGUUGUAAAGCCCUUUUGUUGGGAAAGAAAAGCAGCAGGUUAAUACCCCGCUGUUCUGACGGUACCCAAAGAAUAAGCACCGGCUAACUUCGUG
rnacentral:rRNA from 1 species